AAGGGAAAGUUUGAUUGGACUAAUUCAAGGGGUGAGGUUGAAGACUUAGGAAGUUAGAAACUGGAGAAGCUAAAGAAUAUGGCUGGUGAGGAAGGUACAGGUUGGUUAGGAAUGGGUCUAGGUUUGAGUGCCCUAGAAAGACUACGAAAGUCCCGUGGGGGAAUUUCCAGAAGCAGUUUUUAGGUGUUCCACGUAAAAACAACCCAGAGUGAAGAAGAAUCAAGGUUUUUCCUCAACAGGUCUUAGAAGAUGCAGGGCUCGAACCCACAAACUGUGAGACCAUGACCUGAGCUGAAGUCAGAUGCUUAUCGGACUGAGUCACCUAGGCGCCCCAAGAGGAGAGCAUUUUUAUGGAGAUUUUGCUUAUUUUAAAUUUGUUUUAAUUAAUAAUCAUAAUAAUACUGUUGUUAAUGGUGCUAAAGGGCAUCAGAAUAUGCCACGCCAAAAUAUGGCACUCCAGCAUGACCGUUAUUUUCAGCUGAAGACAAUUGAGAAUCAACAGCUUCAGGAAGAAUUCUCUAGAACUCCCCUUAUCUGCAUAAAAGCAGUGCAUGAAUUUCCCUUUGUGAAGGUUUCUGCCCCCACCCCCAACUCCUGUAUCAGGAAGAAGAGAGGGACUCUUAUCACUGGUGAUAGUCAACACCCAGAAGCGUUUGCAUAAACAGAUCAACCACAACAACCCUUAUCUUCUAUCAGUUUCCCCAUAUAUUUCCAAGUCACUUCCCCACACCGUGUCAUCCCUUGAAGCCCAAGCCCCUUCCCCUUUGUUACAAUGAUGCACAAACCUUGAGUCUAACUGCUUCUUUGUGUUUUACUUCUUUUUGGUGAAUUCCUGUGCAUGUAAAUAUUAAUAAAAAUAGUGUGUCUUUUCUCCUGUUAA